CUUCAGCCGCCCUCGCCAAGCUCGGGUCAUGGAGAUGCUGCUCUCAGCCACCGCUCAACACCACCGCCACUCGACAUCCUGCCUGUCACCUGUGACCUCCGACGUCAGCGGAAAUGCGACGGCGCCGGAAGUGUUGAUCCAGGCCCAGAAAAGCAGCAAAACCGGAUGAAGCGAUGCUGUGGUUGACCUCAGGACCAGAUGCAUUUACCAAUGACUAGCGCCAACCAAUCAGUAGGGACCACACCCUGACUCAAUACACUCAUUUUGGUGAAUCAGCGUAUUAAAGGACACACCUGUAAAGCUGAUGAAUAUUCUAUUGAGAUCCUACCUUGAGGCUCCCCUAAAAUUCUAGCCUUUAGGAAACUGAUAAAAACCCUAAGACAACAGACACUGCACAUGCUCUCCCUGAAGCAUGCCCCUGCCUUCUUUCUCCUAAGCUCUAAAGUUCCCACAAGACUUAAAACCAGGGGAGCAGUGGGCAGCUCCAACUUGUCACUGGCUAACCCCCCUGAACCUGGUUCCAAGGUCUCUUCUUUGCCUCUGUAACUUGAUUCCUGAGACCACAUAGGCCAGCUGUCUCACUUCUGCCUCUGAGACUUUCUUUCUGAGCAGUCCACUUGAAUCUUCUCUUCCAGUGUAUUUUUGCUUUGUAUGUUAAGUAAACUUCUUGUGUUACA